CCUACGGGUGGCAGCAGUGAGGAAUAUUGGUCAAUGGCCGUAAGGCUGAACCAGCCAAGUCGCGUGAAGGAAGAAGGAUCUAUGGUUUGUAAACUUCUUUUAUAGGGGAAUAAAGGUAUCCACGUGUGGAUAUUUUCAUGUACCCUAUGAAUAAGCAUCGGCUAACUCCGUGCCCGCAGCCGCGGUAAUUCGGAGGAUGGGAGCGUUAACCGGAUUUAAUGGGUUUAAAGGGUGCGUAGGGUGUUUUUUAAAUCAGCGGUGAAAGUUUGUGGCUCAACCAUAAAAUUGCCGUUGAAACUGGAGGACUUGAGUGUGUUUGAGGUAGGCGGAAUGCGUGGUGUAGCGGUGAAAUGCAUAGAUAUCACGCAGAACUCCGAUUGCGAAGGCAGCUUACUAAGCCAUAACUGACACUGAAGCACGAAAGCGUGGGGAUCAAACAGGAUUAGAUACCCUGGUAGUC
rnacentral:rRNA from 1 species